rnacentral:misc_RNA from 1 species
CGGGUUCUGCCCUUCUUGUGAUAGGUAGCAUUCUGGUGGCCUUAAGCAAUUCCGAGGGGGCUGGCUCUGUUCAGGUCCUGGCCUGAUUACCUGGCGCCCACCUGUACAUACAGGUCCUCGGGAAUCAAACCGCACGGUUGACUGGUGGUCCCGCC